GCUAAAAUGAAAGUGUCAGCAGUCUUGGUUCUUUCCAGAGCCUCUCGGGGAGACUCCUGCUUAUUGGGGUGGGUGACCGAAUGGAGUUCCUUGUGGGUGUCGGACUGAGGUCCUGGUUUGGAGAGGCCACUCACACUCCUGGCCUCGUGGCCUCCUUCUCCAUCUUCAACAGCAGCAGUUGGAGGCCGGAUCCUUCCUGUGUGGCAUCUCCCGCAUCCACUUUUUUGCCUUCCCCUUCCAUUUUUCAGGACACAUGUGAUUAGAGUGGGCUGACCAAAAUAAUCCAGAUAAUCUCAUUUCAUCAUGGUCCUUCACCUUGACCAGGCCCUCAACGUCCCUUUGGCCACAUAAGUCUGCUGCAGGCUGAGGGCCCCUUGGCGGAGAGUCUUCUGCCAGCCUGAAUGGCUAAUUGAGACCUUCCUAUGCUGAGCUGGUGCAGAUGGCCGUGAAUGCAACACUGUUAGACAAGGAGGGAAGGGAAGGCGUCAUGAAUAUUUCAACAGGUUCCUCUCAUGGCUAUCACUCCCCACAUCUCGGACCAGACC